UUUGCAUAUUCCAUAGCGGAGGAAAAGAAACCAACAGGGAUUGCCUUAGUAACGGCGAGUGAAGCGGCAAAAGCUCAAUUUGAAAACGCUUCGGCGUGUUGUAAGUAAAGUGGUUAGACGCUUUUUAAUAAGUCCCUUGGAACAGGGCGCCAUAGAGGGUGAUAGCCCCGUAUUAAAUUGUCUAGUGUGCUACUUUAGAGCGAGUCGAGUUGUUUGGGAAUGCAGCUCAAAUAGGUGGUAAACUCCAUCUAAAGCUAAAUAUUGCUGGGAGACCGAUAGCGAACAAGUACAGUGAUGGAAAGAUGAAAAGCACUUUGAAAAGAGAGUGAAAUAGCGUGUGAAAUUGUGGAGGGGAAGGCGAUGGUAGGAAUAAGAGGCUGCGGUUGAAAUAAUUGUUUUCGCUAUCGUAUCUGGAU
rnacentral:rRNA from 1 species